CAAGAAGGAGGCAAGUAUGUGAUAUGCUUUGUUUCAACUUUGCUUCAGCUUUAUAUGUUCCAGGGUAAAUGAAAUGUCUACUGAUACAAAAUAUGUUCCCAUUGUAAGUGUAUGUUUUUGGAAAUAUGAUUUUUGGCAUGAUUUCUACUUGGACAUCCAUCAGCAAAUAUGACUUUGAACAAUACUUGUAUUUUUCAUUAAUGGUGAGAUUAUGUCUUGUCAGUUGAAGUCCAAUGUUCUCAAAAGUAAACAGUUGAUGAAACCUGGCUACUGAUACCACUUUGGAUUCUGAGAUUAAUGGGGUACAUGGUACACUAUUAUCCUGGCUUCUGACAAAAGAGAAAAGAUAGAAGAACAUGGCAGCAUGAGAUUUUUGUGGAGCACAUUCAUGUCUUGGAGAAUUCCUUAGCUUUUAAACUCCAUACUGUAUGAUGGAUUCAAUACAUUUACUCUACUGAAGACAGAAUAUGAUAAUUAUAUUAUGUUUCAUCUCAUUAAUGAAAUGAAUGGGGAAACCUUCCAGCUGAUGUUGCUUUAUGACCUAGAACCAGAUUUGAGUUCAGACAUCAAGGAAGAGUUUGCAAAACUAUUUGAGGAGCAUGGAAUCGUUAGAGAAAAUAGCAUUGACCUAUCUAAUGCCAUGUUGAGUGGAGACUUCUCACCAGGACUCCAGCAUCAUCCCUUCCUAUCCAUACAGCAUCCCGUGACAAGUUCUGUGAUCUGCUUUCAAUCAUGUCUCACAGAGAAUUGCAAUCCCUGUCUCUCCAGCAUGCUACUAGGAUAACUCAUCAAGAAUCAAAGUCUUUCUUUAAAUUUCUCUUUGAUACACCCAUGACAAUUAUCCUUGAAUUUCUUCUUCUUCCUGAUCAAAAAAUGAUUAUACUUGCAUUUAAAUAUAUGUCUCUGUGUCCAGAAAAAAUGUGGGGCUGACAAUGAGUGAAUAUGUGGACCUCCUGAGUUCUGAUCCUUCCUUCUGGUCCAGAAUGUAACCUGAGUUUCAGGAUUUUGCCUCCAGUGCAACAAUUCCAUGCCCUGAUGAGUACUGCCUGCUUUUUAGUUCUCCUGCUUUAGUUCUGUCUGAGGACCACAGAAGCAUGACACUUCCUGCAUGAUUCUUCCAAGCAUAGUCUUUUUUCUAACAGAGCUUAGGAGAGACAUGGAUUUCUAAGGCUAUGCCUGCUAAGUAUGUUUCAUGACAUGGUGAGUGGGUGUGCUACAGUGGGAGAGGUUUGGUAAUUACAGUCCCAUUGGAUUCAGAGAAAAAGCAUACUCUGGCCCCUAGAUCAAGAGAUUAAAUUGGUUCAACUCAGGACACAUGAAAGGAGUUCUUGCUGUAGUUUGCUAAAAGA